UGUUGAAACACUGGUUCUCAUAUGAUCACCAAAGUUAAGCAACAUCAAACCUUGUCAGUACCUAGAUGGGUGACUGCUUGGGAAUACCAUGUGCUGUAA